GACUAUCGUGCGAAGAGCCAGAUUCUGC
rnacentral:sRNA from 1 species